GAUUGAUAUGGGUGAUGCCUCGGCUUAACUCGCGAUGAAGGACGAAAUUUAUCUCGUUAUUAAAAGCGAAUUAUGAUCUUUCGAACUUUUAUCUCUGAACACAUGUAAGACACCUCUCUUGAGCGUGUUAUUGGUUUCAGUAGUAUUAUUUACACAAGAAUGAAGUACCCAAAAUAUUUUUGUGGUGCGAUUUAUUCGUAGAUUCUAACUAUAAGGUCCACGUCUUUAAGAUUUACUCUGAUUCCAAUAAGUAGAACCCGCUGAAUUUAAGCAUAUUAAUAAGCGGAGGAGAAGAAAACAACUGUGAUAUCCUCAGUAGUGGCGAACGAAAAGGAUCUAGCACUCCGAGUAAUUGUACUUUGUGCAACUUGUCUCGUACCAAACUCAUUGGGUUUUCUGUUAUGUCGUGUCUUUGGAAAAAGUCAUGUAUUGUGGUGAUAAACCAUUCCAUUUCAGCUUUCUCUAUGUUUGCGGUUUCUGAGUAGGGUUCUUUCAAAUUGGAAUCUGAAACGGAGGUAACUUCCUUCGAAUGCUAAAUAUCUGUUAAGCCCGAUAGCGUAUAAGUACCGUGAGGGAAAGGUGAAAAGACAGCUCGAAAGCUAGUUAAUAGACCUGAAACCAUAUCAGUAGAAGGCUACUUUAAAGUUGACUUCUUUGGUUCAUUUAUGCACCUUUGAAUUAGACAUUUCUCUAUUGCUUUUGCUUUAGUUUUUUGUGUUUACUUUAUGUAGCGCCCGUCUUGAAACACGGACUAAGGAGUCAUUCGCCACUGCAAGUUGAUGAUGUUUUUAACAUCUACGCGUUUUGAGCAGUCUUGAAUGGACCCGAAAGGUGGUGAACUAUUCGUGAGAGAGUUGACGUCAGAGGAAACUCUGACUGAGGACUUGUGUGUUACUGACGUGCAAUUCGUUCAUUUUACUCGUGAAUAGGGGCGAAAGACUAAUCGAACCACCUAGUAGCUGGUUCCCCCCGAAGUUUCUCCUAGGAUAGCGGGCGAGAUCUUUAUCAUGUAUAGUAGAGAAAUGAUUGGCGGAUAGGGGGAUGUAUGUUCUUCACCGACUCUCAAACUACAAACGUACAUUGAGUUGAAUACUUAACAGAUUCUUCUCGUAGAAAUACUCGCCUCGUGGACCGUUUUUGGUAAGCAGAUACGGUGCUUUGGAAUGCUCCAAGCCUGAUGAUAAGGGAUAUUGCUAUCGGUUUAAUGCUCUAAAAAGGUGUUAAUACAUUUAGACAGUCCGACGGUGGCCAUGGAAGUUGGAAUCCGCUAAGGAGUGUGUAACAACUCACGGACCGAAUGUAUUAGCCCUUAAAAUUGACUGUGCUCAAACCGUUCGCCCGAAACAUCAGAGGCCUUGUUUUAAUAAGGUUUUGUAGGGGGGUGUAUCGGAUGCGUAGAAGGCCUGUUGUGAAACAAGCUGGAGCUUCCGGUAGUGCAGAUCUUGGUAGGAGUAGCAGUGUUUUAGUAUUAUCCUUAAAGACGGAUGUAGACGAGGUUUUCAUAGACACAUCGUUUGGCUAUGAGUGAGUCGAUCUUAACGCAUUAAUCUGCGGAAAAGGAAUAGAGUUUAAAUUCUCUAACUGGCUUCUUUUGCUAGAGAUGGUGACAUCAUUAUCUUUCACGUUUCUAUGGGUUGCCUGGGGCGUGCGUUAUCUAUGCACUAUAACUAGUUGCCGACUGUCGAAGAGGCUUGACCUAAGAAACAGUUUAAAGCUAGGAAAUAUGGUCCUCUUUGGAUCACCCGGUGUCUCCUAUGGAGCUCUAAGUGUGAGAAUUCUUGCAGUGAGCCAAUCGUACCAACAACCGCAUCAGGUCUCUAAGGUUCAUAACCUUUCGUUUAUGGAAUAAAAUAGGUGAGGGAAAUCGGCAAAUUAGAUCUGUAACCUUGGGAAAAGGAUUGGCUCUGCAGGCAUUUCAUCGGAUCGUUUCUUUCAUUUCGGUUUCUGACUCUGUUGGAGAUUGAUAUUCAUGAUUGAUGCGUGAACUUGGACAUGUGCCAUAGUAGAACUGAGACUAUGAGGGGAAUCCGACAGUUUAACUAAAACCAAGCAUUCUGCUAGUGUCCUUUACUGAAACACAGAAUGUGAAUUCUGCCCGGUGCUUUGAAUGUCAAUGUGAGGAGACUCAUCUAAGCGCGGGUUAACGGCAGGCGUAACUAUGACGCUUUCAACGUAGCAAAAUGCCUCGUCAUCUAAUUAGUGACUCGCAUGAACGGAUUAAUGAGAUUCCUACUGUCCCCAUCUAUUUUCCAGCGAAACUACAGGCCAGGGAACGGGCUGGCCUUUGACAGAACGGCAAGAAGACCCUGUUGAGGUUGACUCUAGCUAGUUUUUGUACAGUAGCUCAAGCAGUGUAGCGUAUGUGGGAGCGUAAGCGAAAGUGAAACACCACAAUGUUUGAAGCCGCUGAACUUACUCUUUACCUUCUAGUUCUGCUAUCAAGUAAAUCUUAGUUUUAAAGAGGACAUUCACUGGUUGGGAGUUUGGCUGGGGCGGUACAUUUGUUAAAAGUCACCACAAGUGUCCAAAGGCUAUCUCAAUAAGAACAGAAAUCUUAUGUGGACUAAAAGGAGAAAAGAUAGCUUUACUUUUUCGUUCAUAAGCCGAAAGAGUUGUGAAAGCAUGGCCUAUCGAUCCUUUCGCGAAGCAGGAGUUGCGCCGAGAGGUGUCUGAAAACUUACCACAGGGAUAACUGAUUUGUGGCAGCCAAGCGUUCAUAGCGACGUUGCUUUUUGAUCCUUCGAUGUCGGCUCUUCCUAUCAUGAAGUUGUAGAAGGCUUCAAGUGUUAGAUUGUUCACCUAUAAAAAGGGAUCGUGAGCUGGGUUCAGACCGUCG
rnacentral:rRNA from 1 species